rnacentral:rRNA from 1 species
CCUACGGGGGGCAGCAGUGGGGGAUAUUGCACAAUGGGGGGAACCCUGAUGCAGCGACGCCGCGUGGGUGAAGAAGCGCCUCGGCGCGUAAAGCCCUGUCAGCAGGGAAGAAAAUGACGGUACCUGAAGAAGAAGCCCCGGCUAACUACGUGCCAGCAGCCGCGGUAAUACGGAAGGUCCGGGCGUUAUCCGGAUUUAUUGGGUUUAAAGGGAGCGUAGGCCGGUCUUUAAGCGUGCCGUGAAAUUUUGUGGUUCAACCAUGGGAGUGCGGCGCGAACUGGAGACCUUGAGUGCGCGGAAGGCAGGCGGAAUUCGUGGUGUAGCGGUGAAAUGCUUAGAUAUCACGAAGAACCCCGAUUGCGAAGGCAGCCUGCCGCAGCGUUACUGACGCUGAAGCUCGAAAGCGCGGGUAUCGAACAGGAUUAGAUACCCUUGUAGUC